AGGAGGGAGUCAGCUGGGGCCAGCAAACAGCUCAAAUCCCUAUACCAACUCCUUCCUUGCUUUAUCUGCCUCUUGCUCCCAACCUCUGCUACUGAUAAAGUGACUAUUUCAGCAAGGCCUCAAAGUAGGGACAUUAUGGACACAGAAGCCCAGCUAGCUGAGAGGCUGGAGACAGCAGAA
rnacentral:lncRNA from 1 species